UCCUUCGAUGUCUCUCUUCUCUUAUCAUCUCAUCUCAGAGAAAAAAGGUUGAGUUGCUUUUUAGGGGAAACAAGGAGAGUGAAACCAAUGAUGGCGGUGAGCUCAAAACCACCGAUCAUACCUUCGACGAUGGUUAUGGGCUUCGAUUCUUCUCAGCGUUUCCGAUUUCGGGCGGUUUCUAAGGUUACGAUUGUGGACAAUGGUUUUCUGAUCUCCAGGCGGAAGGAGGAAGAUGGAGCAAGGUUUGGUGGACUCGAGUUUGAGUUGGAUAAACUCAGGUGUUAUUGGUUGUUAUAUAUAUUUUUUUUAUUUCAUUUCUAGAAUUUUUUUUAUUGUUGUUGAUGUUUGUUUGUGGUUUAUGGAAUUGAUGGAAUUUUACUUUGAUUGAUUGAGAAACAAGAUCAGUUGAAGUUAGGCGAUUUUUUUGUGAAAUUCGAACUUAGUAUUAGUCUCCCUUGAUUAUAGUUCUGUUGGUUGUUUUUUUGGAACAUGUUUAGAGUGUUUUUAUCUUUGAUUUGCAUGAUUUGGUGUUCUCAUUUUGUGAAUUUUAUGAUGUUUGUGUCAUAUGUUAUAUGCUUUAUGUAGAUAUGAGCUAAUUUGGGUAGGCUGGUUUUGAGAAAUGGGAGAUCUUGAGAUGAUUAUCCACCUUUUGGGGCAAAUUGAAGAGCAAGUGAGUGAUUUUCUUAUCCUGAAUUGACUAUUAAAUUGUUGGGUUCGUGGGGUUUUUUCUGGUGCUGAUUGCAUUGGGCAAUUGUUCUCAUUCAUCCUUUGUCUUCUUCUCGCUCAUACCUUGCCAAAGUAGGGGCUUUCUGAAUUAUGGUAUGCUUUUCCUCUCCCCCCCCAUCCUCCCUUCCUCCCUUUUUGGGUAGGGUGUUUCUGCUCAGGUACAUGUGUCAAAGUGUUUUAAUACAUCGUUUUUAGGUUGGUUUGUAUGUAUUUGGGAGGAAUGUCUGUGUACAGAUUUGUCUAUGUCCAAGUAUUAGCUUUUUAACUUUAAUGCAUCAUAUUAUUGGUCCAAAACAAGUGUUAGUUAUCUACAACUCCUUGUUAUUGUCUGAAUAUUUAGUCAUAUGCUAUUAAGAGUCACAACUUGCAUGUAGCUACUCUUGUCACCUCCUGUUUGAAAAGUGAAAAAAAAAAUGCAUUUAACCUCACACUCACUCUCAUCCUCACGGGCCUCACCCCCUCACAGUUACAGUCAAGUGCUGAACUGUCAUCUUUUUCCAUACUUUACCAUGAUAGAAAUGCAUAAUCCUCUAUUUCUUAUAAUUUUGCAGGUUGUAAAUAGAUUUUUGUUUUAAAUUUGUUAUGGUGGAUUGAAUUGAUUUUUUGCUGUUGCCCUCUUCACGUCCAAACUACAGUCAAUGUUGAUAUUACCGGACUCCUGGGAAGCAAGGAUUUUCUCUUGGUUAUCUCUUAGUCCUUAAAUUUGCUUUGGGUUUUGUAUUUUAAUGCUUAUUUUUCUAUCAAAUGCGUGCAAAUUUUGGUUUUAGUUUAGGCAUAUUGUGGCUUAACCGCCUUUGUUCUAAGCUGCAAGUCUUUUCAGAUUUAGCUGUGCAAUUGUUUAGUUAAUUGAAUUUUUUUCUAAGAUUUGUUUGGAUUCUUAAUAGACUUGGUUUAUGUUUAAGCAAUUUGUUUGUGUGACUGUUAUUAAUUGUGAAAGGUUUUAUUGUAAAUUAGAUUUCUUUAUUUCAUCUAAAGAAAUAGUUUAAAUUUGGUAAUAUGGAAUGGCUGAAAGGUUCACUUGCUUAUUCUUUGUAAACGUCUUCAGGCAAAAGCUAUGCAUGAUGCUUGCUGCUCUUACUGCAACCUAUGUCAAGUGUUUAAUGUUGUUAUAAGUAGUUUGGUUUACUGCUGAAAUGCUUAGGUUCUUGGAAUGCAGUUCAAGAACCGUUGCAGACCAAUCCAGAUCUAGAGGAGGGUUUUUGCUGAGCUCUGUUGUGCCGUUUAUGGUUUCGUAAGGUCUUACCUUAUAUACUCUUGCUACUUUUAUAGAUUCCCCUGAUUGCCAAUCUUACAUCAGACCAUCAAGAGAAAUGUGACGAGAGAUUUGAGUGUUGUGCUAUUUUGGAUUUUUUUUUUUUUUUUGCUCUGCCACUUAAGCUUGUAUACAGUAUAAUACAAUGGCCCUGGAUGUUUUUCGUUAUUUUCCUUCUCUGCAUAUAUUGAGAGGACAAUCGUUCUUAUUGAUGCCUUUAAUCUUUCAUGUCUAUAAGUCUAUUUAUUUACGGAAGACAUCAAGCUCUGCAAUAUUCUUCGGAAUCCAUGCCUCUAUUUCUGUUGCUGUGUGCUAAUGCAUGUGUAAAAUUUGUUUUGAUUGUAAUACCCGAUACAAAUUCGCUAACAUAGUGACUAAAUUGCAAUUUUCAGGGAAGGUACAGCUUUUGCUUAAGAAUUUAUUGGCAUAUAAUAAUAUUUUGCCUCAAAAUUUUGUUCAAUUUGAUGGCUGCAUUAAUUAAUCAAACCUACAGUGUAAUGAGACUUCAUUUUUCAUUGUGUGUUGCAGCAUUACUACCACCUUCUUAUGUGCUUGAAGGAACCCCAAGGCAAAGGCUUUGAGUUGGCAAGAAAAAAUAUUUUAUCUAGCUUAUUACAACUGGAACAAAUGCAAAAAUCAGCUGAGUUUCUGAGGUCUAUAGGAUGCUUGACAAUAUUGUUUUGCGGAAGCCAGAAGGAGGAAGACGGAGCAAGGUUUGAUGGAUCUUGUUUUAGAGACAUUAUGUUGGACCCUGUUGUUUUAUCUACUAGCUAGGGCAUAAAGUGAAGAAAAUCAGGAGGAAGGAAGAGAAAGAAAGAGAGAGGUUUGGAUCUUAGAGAAUCCCGGCCAUGGUGCGUAAUUUUUCAUUUCUAGCUGCACACGUUGGAGAAUUACAGGGGUUGGUGGUCAUGAUUGAAUUAAAGAAGAUAUUCUUGACCGAGUCGUCAAUAUUCAUGCCCAGCUGAGUUCAUUUGAAUCUAAUUCAAUGUACAAGAAGCUUCUGUCAAGUGUUAACUUGACGAAGGAUUUUAUUUUUACAGCUAUACAAAUCCAAUUAUACAAAGCUUGCAAAAAAAAAAUAUAUGUGCAGCUGAAGGAUUUGGUUGGAAUCGGUUCAUGGGCUUUUUAAGCAAGAAGUCACCGUCGAGAAGAUGUCAAAAUGGAGAGAAGAAGACUAGAGGUCAUUGUUGAGAAGCUGAUAUUCGGGUAUGUUUUGUUCAAGAACGUGGGCUUCCAAGCUUUUUUAACUCCAUUGAAGUUGAGAGAAUGCUUUAGGUGUCGACAAUAAUUGGUAUAUAAAGUAAUCAUCUUAGUAAACAAGGGUGAUGUAGCCCUUUAUUGUUUGAUUUUGUAAUUAUAAACAUUUGUGUCGUAAUAUGUUUAGUUGUUAACUACUACUUAGACCAAUGUUCUAUAGGAAAAUGUACAUGGAAAUAACUCAAUAGUCAAUAAAUUUGCCUAAUUGCAAAGAGUUAUGUUUUUUUGAAUGUAA